rnacentral:rRNA from 1 species
CAGGAUUUAGAUACCCUGGUAGUCCACGCUGUAAACGAUGUCGAUUUGGAGGUUGUGCCCUUGAGGCGUGGCUUCCGGAGCUAACGCGUUAAAUCGACCGCCUGGGGAGUACGGCCGCAAGGUUAAAACUCAAAUGAAUUGACGGGGGCCCGCACAAGCGGUGGAGCAUGUGGUUUAAUUCGAUGCAACGCGAAGAACCUUACCUACUCUUGACAUCCACGGAACUUGCCAGAGAUGGCUUGGUGCCUUCGGGAACCGUGAGACAGGUGCUGCAUGGCUGUCGUCAGCUCGUGUUGUGAAAUGUUGGGUUAAGUCCCGCAACGAGCGCAACCCUUAUCCUUUGUUGCCAGCGGUUCGGCCGGGAACUCAAAGGAGACUGCCAGUGAUAAACUGGAGGAAGGUGGGGAUGACGUCAAGUCAUCAUGGCCCUUACGAGUAGGGCUACACACGUGCUACAAUGGCGUAUACAAAGAGAAGCGAACUUGCGAGAGUAAGCGGACCUCAUAAAGUACGUCGUAGUCCGGAUUGGAGUCUGCAACUCGACUCCAUGAAGUCGGAAUCGCUAGUAAUCGUAGAUCAGAAUGCUACGGUGAAUACGUUCCCGGGCCUUGUACACACCGCCCGUCACACCAUGGGAGUGGGUUGCAAAAGAAGUAGGUAGCUUAACCUUCGGGAGGGCGCUUACCACUUUGUGAUUCAUGACUGGGGUGAAGU